rnacentral:snRNA from 1 species
AUACUUACUUGGUGCUGGGCAAUCCGUGAUCACAAAGGCGGAUACCCCGGGAGGAGGUUGACUCAUUGCACAUGGGGUCAGCUAAUACCCGCCACGUCCCAAAUGGGGAUAGAUGGGGCAUGUAAUUUUUUUGUCACAGGGAGUUGCGUUCACGCAACUCCCAA